UACGGAGGGUGCAAACGUUGCUCGGAAUCACUGGGCGUAAAGGGCGCGUAGGCGGCCGAUCAAGUCGGGGGUGAAAGCCUGUGGCUCAACCACAGAAUUGCCUUCGAUACUGUUUGGCUUGAGACCGGAAGAGGUUAGUGGAACUGCGAGUGUAGAGGUGAAAUUCGUAGAUAUUCGCAAGAACACCAGUGGCGAAGGCGGCUGACUGGUCCGGUUCUGACGCUGAGGCGCGAAAGCGUGGGGAGCAAACAGG
rnacentral:rRNA from 1 species